GGCUCACGGGAGGAGGGCGCCGCUCCCCCAAAACAAGCAGAGCGGCGAGGCUCGGCGCACGAGGUGCUCAGAGUCGCUAAUGAAGUCGUCGCAUCCGGGGACGGUGUUUAUCAUCCAGAGAAAUUUCACGGAAAGCCGGAAUGUCGCAGGUGUUAUGCUUGGCGGUGCGUGUUGUUUAUCUGAGUGUUGGCUCCUAUCACCUCCUCCACAAAACUCACUGUUGCCUUCUCCAAGGAGAAACAAACAUGGACAGCAGAAGCCGAGUCACAUCCUCCCCAAAGACUUCCUGUCUCGGAAUAAUGCAGCUGACUCACGAGACCCCCACCGGAGAAGAGCCAGCGUUCUAGAAACAUGGAGCAGAACUCUUGGCGUCAAAGAUGUAAAGACGUCAACGGAGGAUCGACGAGCUCGCUCAAUCUCCGGAGUCAGCAGGUUGCCAUCCAUCAUUGGCCGCCGCCAAAAUGUACCUGUUGUUUUUCUCCGUGCGUUUG